rnacentral:rRNA from 1 species
CAGUAGCCGCGGUAAUACGAAGGGGGCUAGCGUUGUUCGGAUUUACUGGGCGUAAAGCGCACGUAGGCGGACUUUUAAGUCAGGGGUGAAAUCCCGGGGCUCAACCCCGGAACUGCCUUUGAUACUGGAAGUCUUGAGUAUGGUAGAGGUGAGUGGAAUUCCGAGUGUAGAGGUGAAAUUCGUAGAUAUUCGGAGGAACACCAGUGGCGAAUGCGGCUCACUGGACCAUUACUGACGCUGAGGUGCGAAAGCGUGGGGAGCAAACAGGAUUAGAUACCCCGGUAGUCCCUGUCUCUUAUAC